UGAAUGAAUUUGAAGGAGGUAAAUUGGAAAGAAAAGAAAUGUAUUUGAUAGGAGAGAAUGGUUUGUGGUGAAUGAAGGGAGGUUUUGAUGGGUAUUUAUAGGAAAAGAAUUUGGAAGUUGGAAAAAGAAGUGGUUGAAAAGUAAAUAAAUGUGGGUAAAUGUGAAUAAAUGGGGAAGAUAAAAAAAAUUGAAGGGUGUAACGUUCGUCUCCAACGGCUAUGUAACGUUCACCUAGUCAGAAAGGUGUUACGCUCGUCACAGGGGUGUGACGGUCGUAACAGGCUCUUGGCGUGCCGUCCGUCAUAGAUUGUGUGACGCUCGUCACACAUUCCUUUUGGCAAGGCUUCAGUAGCGUUCUACAGAAUUACUUUGGUAAUUAAUUUAUCUUGCAUGCUAUUCUACUUUGCAUAAUAUUGCAUGAAUAAUUCAAUAGGUUAUGGGCAGCAACAGUAGAGAAUAUAAUAGCUAUUGCAUAAUAAAAUUAAAUAAAUAGCUUCAAUAAAAUGAUCAUAAUGUAAUAUUGGAAAGAAGAACAAAAGAAAUGCGAAAAGGAAACAAAUGCG
rnacentral:lncRNA from 1 species